rnacentral:rRNA from 1 species
AUUGAACGCUGGCGGCAGGCCUAACACAUGCAAGUCGAACGGUAACAGGGAUCAGCUUGCUGAUUCGCUGACGAGUGGCGGACGGGUGUGUAAUGUCUGGGAAACUGCCUGAUGGAGGGGGAUAACUACUGGAAACGGUAGCUAAUACCGCAUAACGUCGCAAGACCAAAGAGGGGGACCUUCGGGCCUCUUGCCAUCGGAUGUGCCCAGAUGGGAUUAGCUAGUAGGUGGGGUAACGGCUCACCUAGGCGACGAUCCCUAGCUGGUCUGAGAGGAUGACCAGCCACACUGGAACUGAGACACGGUCCAGACUCCUACGGGAGGCAGCAGUGGGGAAUAUUGCACAAUGGGCGCAAGCCUGAUGCAGCCAUGCCGCGUGUAUGAAGAAGGCCUUCGGGUUGUAAAGUACUUUCAGCGGGGAGGAAGGGAGUAAAGUUAAUACCUUUGCGCAUUGACGUUACCCGCAGAAGAAGCACCGGCUAACUCCGUG